UAGGGAAUAUUGCACAAUGGGGGAAACCCUGAUGCAGCGACGCCGCGUGAAGGAAGAAGUAUCUCGGUAUGUAAACUUCUAUCAGCAGGGAAGACAAUGACGGUACCUGACUAAGAAGCCCCGGCUAACUACGUGCCAGCAGCCGCGGUAAUACGUAGGGGGCAAGCGUUAUCCGGAUUUACUGGGUGUAAAGGGAGCGUAGACGGAUCUGCAAGUCUGGAGUGAAAGCCCGGGGCUCAACCCCGGGACUGCUUUGGAAACUGUCAUACUUGAGUGCCGGAGGGGUAAGCGGAAUUCCUAGUGUAGCGGUGAAAUGCGUAGAUAUUAGGAGGAACACCAGUGGCGAAGGCGGCUUACUGGACGGUAACUGACGUUGAGGCUCGAAAGCGUGGGGAGCAAACAGGAUUAGAUACC
rnacentral:rRNA from 1 species